UGAUGCACCUAACGGAUUAAACAUUCCGCCUGGGGAGUACGGUCGCAAGAUUAAAACUCAAAGGAAUAGACGGGGACCCGCACAAGUGGUGGAGCAUGUGGUUUAAUUCGAAGAUACACGAAGAACCUUACCUGGCCUUGACAUUGAUAGAACCUGCCAGAGAUGGCGGGGUGCCUCUUUGAGGAGCUUGAAAACAGGUGCUGCACGGCUGUCGUCAGCUCGUGUCGUGAGAUGUUGGGUUAAGUCCCGCAACGAGCGCAACCCUCGUUCUUAGUUGCCAGCAGUUCGGCUGGCACUCUAAGGAGACUGCCUUCGCAAGGAGGAGGAAGGUGAGGACGACGUCAAGUCAUCAUGGCCCUUACGGCCAGGGCUACACACGUGCUACAAUGGGGCGUACAGAGUGUUGCGAUACCGCGAGGUGGAGCCAAUCACUUAAAGCGUCUCUCAGUUCGGAUUGUACUCUGCAACUCGAGUGCAUGAAGCUGGAAUCACUAGUAAUCGUAGAUCAGCCAAGCUACGGUGAAUACGUUCCCGGGUCUUGUACUCACCGCCCGUCACACCAUGGGAGUUGAUUUCACCAGAAAUCGGGAAGCUAAAGCAGCUACCGCUUACGGUGGGAUCAGCGACUGGGGUGAAGUCGUAACAAGGUA
rnacentral:rRNA from 1 species